rnacentral:misc_RNA from 1 species
AGAAGGCUAUAUGGUGUACUUUUCUGAAGAAGUUCUUCAUUCUUUUCCCCUUCAAAUUUCAAGGGAUGAUUUAUUCCAAGCGGUUGGCUGUGUUUUGGAUCGUUUCAAGUUGUUAUGGCUGUGUUUUGGAUCGAUGAUGAGUUUUUUUUUCAAGUGGGAAAGUAUGAUGUGGGGCUUAGACAAGAAGGCAUAAUCCUUUUUUUUUAACUAAUUUUAAUUU